rfam:Bacillus sp. 1NLA3E, complete genome.
AAGUCUAUGUGUAACUGGCGAAACGCGGAUAACCGUGAGGGAGCACAUAGUGACGUAGCCGUUCGCCUGGGCAGAGGUA